rnacentral:lncRNA from 1 species
AGAAAAUGGUGGAUUAAAGCGGGUUUUAUGACUAGCUAAACCUGUCACAUGUAUGAUAGUCGCAUAAAAUUUCAUCAUUGUGACAUUGGUAUGUGAUAUUCAAAACAAAAUGUGUACUGUUUUUUUUUUACCUAUACACCUUUAAAGCGCAACAAAAGAAAACUAUAACUAUUUAAUAGAUUCAAAGCUUGGUGGGCACAUUUGGCAGUACUUGUAGAC